rnacentral:rRNA from 1 species
CCUACGGGGGGCUGCAGUGGGGAAUAUUGCACAAUGGGGGAAACCCUGAUGCAGCGACGCCGCGUGAGUGAAGAAGUAAUUCGUUAUGUAAAGCUCUAUCAGCAGGGAAGAAAAUGACGGUACCUGCGUACUCAUCCCCGGCUAACUACUUCCCAGCCGCCGCGGUCAUACGUCGGGGGCAAGCGUUAUCCGGAUUUACUGGGGGUAACGGGGUCUUAGACGGUAGUGCAAGUCGGGGGUGAAAGGCGGGGGCUCAACCCCGGACGGCUCGGGAAACUGUACGGCUGGAGUGCAGGAGAGGUAAGUGGAAUUCGUAGUGUAGCGGUGAAAUGCGUAGAUAUUAGGAGGAACACCAGUGGCGAAGGCGGCUUACUGGACUGUAACUGACGUUGAGGCUCGAAAGCGUGGGGAGCAAACAGGAUUAGAUACCCCAGUAGUC